rnacentral:rRNA from 1 species
GUCUAUGGCCAUGCCACCCUAAACACUCCUGAUCUCAGAAGCUAAGCAGGGUCGGGCCUGCUUAGUACUUGGAUGGAAGACCACCUAGGAAUACCAGGUGCUAUAGGCU